rnacentral:rRNA from 1 species
AUUGAACGCUGGCGGCAGGCUUAACACAUGCAAGUCGAGCGGAGUGAUGGUGCUUGCACUAUCACUUAGCGGCGGACGGGUGAGUAAUGCUUAGGAAUCUGCCUAUUAGUGGGGGACAACAUCUCGAAAGGGAUGCUAAUACCGCAUACGACCUACGGGAGAAAGCAGGGGACAACUUGUGACCUUGCGCUAAUAGAUGAGCCUAAGUCGGAUUAGCUAGUUGGUGGGGUAAAGGCCUACCAAGGCGACGAUCUGUAGCGGGUCUGAGAGGAUGAUCCGCCACACUGGGACUGAGACACGGCCCAGACUCCUACGGGAGGCAGCAGUGGGGAAUAUUGGACAAUGGGGGGAACCCUGAUCCAGCCAUGCCGCGUGUGUGAAGAAGGCCUUAUGGUUGUAAAGCACUUUAAGCGAGGAGGAGGCUCUUUUGGUUAAUACCCAAGAUGAGUGGACGUUACUCGCAGAAUAAGCACCGGCUAACUCUGUGCCAGCCGCCGCCGUAA